GUUGCAGUUAAAAAGCUCGUAGUUGGAUUUCUGCGGGGGCGGGGCGGCCGGUUGCUUAUAGCAACUCGAGCUAGCACUUCCCCUGCAUCCUGCCGCGAACCGUGCUACCAUUAGUUUGGUGGCGCCGGGGAUCGGCUCGUUUACUUUGAGAAAAAUAGAGUGUUCAAAGCAGGCCACACGCCUUGAAUAAGUUAGCAUGGAAUAAUGAUAAAGGACUUCGGUUCUAUUUUGUUGGUGUUCGGGACUGAAGUAAUGAUCGAUAGGGACAGUUGGGGCGGUCCGUAUUCCAAAGCGAGAGGUGAAAUUCUUAGACCCUCGGGAGACGAACAGCUGCGAAAGCGCUCCGCAAGGAUGUUCCCUUUGAUCAAGAACGAAAGUUGGGGGAUCGAAGACGAUCAGAUACCGUCGUA
rnacentral:rRNA from 1 species